CUCGCUUCCUCUGUUUUUGUGUGAUCUCUGCACAUGAGUAGAAGCAUCCUGAAUCCCUCACCAGAUGCCCAGUGAUCCAGCCAGCAGAAUUGAUUUGUUACUUGAUCUCCAUGUGUAUAUGCAAAUAUUUGCCUGUAUUUAUUGUCAUCAUCAUACUUUGGGCACUGGCCAUGCUACCUCUGUGAGGAAAGAAGGGAAAGGAAAGGAAAAAUAAGAAAAGAAGAAAACAUCCAUACAGGGUCUCACUCUGUCACCAGGCUGGAAUGACAGACUGAUAGGCAGACUCACAUAGCCUUCUUGCCUUUCCCUGAGGAGUUGACUCCAAUUGUCCUACACAUUCCUUCUCUAUGAUAUAGAAGCCCUGGGUCUCAGCGGUAAUGGCCUGGGAUUCACCAUCUCCUCUUGUGGCCACCUGAGACAUGGCUUCUGUUCCUAAGCCCCUAUUAAAUGUUCCUUUCAGAGAAAA
rnacentral:lncRNA from 1 species